UGAAGAAUAUUGGACAAUGGAGGAAACUCUGAUCCAGCCAUGCCGCGUGAGUGAAGACGGCCUUAGGGUUGUAAAGCUCUUUCAUAUGCGAAGAUAAUGACGGUAACAUAAGAAGAAGCCCCGGCUAAAUUCGUGCCAGCAGCCGCGGUAAUACGAAUGGGGCAAGCGUUGUUCGGAAUCACUGGGCUUAAAGCGUGCGUAGGCGGAAAUGAAAGUCAGAAGUGAAAGCCCAGGGCUCAACCCUGGAACUGCUUUUGAAACUCCAUUUCUAGAAUCCGGUAGAGGUCAGGAGAAUUCCUAGUGUAGAGGUGAAAUUCGCAGAUAUUAGGAGGAAUACCAGUGGCGUAGGCGCCUGACUGGGCCGGUAUUGACGCUGAGGUACGAAAGCGUGGGGAGCAAACAGG
rnacentral:rRNA from 1 species